GCUUCUGUGGCCUAGUGGUUAGAGCGUUUGCUUCGGAUGCGGGAAGUCGCGGUUUCGAAUCCCGGUUGAGUCA